rnacentral:rRNA from 1 species
AGCUUUUUGUAUAUAAAAAAAAGUAUUACCUGCCCAAUGAAAUUUAAAUGGCCGCAGUAUUUUAACUGUGCAAAGGUAGCAUAAUCAUUUGCUUUAUAAAUUAAAGCUUGUAUGAAUGGUAAGAUGUAAAUAUAACUAUCUUUUAUUUAUAAAUAAAAAUUGUCUUUUCAGUGAAGAGACUGAGAAUUUUUAGAAAGACGAGAAGACCCUAAUGAGUUUACAUAUUUAAUUGAUUAAAUUAUUUAUUAAAUAUUUUGUUGGGGCGAUUAAAGAAUAUAUCUUCUUUUAAAAUAAAAUAAUAAUAUUUCAAAACCCAUUAUUAAUGGAAAAAGUUUAAAUUACCAUAGGGAUAACAGCAUAAUUUUUUUUAAGAGUACUUAUCGACAAAAACGAUUGUGACCUCGAUGUUGGGUUAAGAAAAUUUUAAGAUGAAGAAAUUUAAAAUAAGUCUGUUCGACUUUUAAAAUCUUACA